CUUUUCCUCUGCACAGGUUUUUAUAAAUCUCCCCCAAUAUAUCUGUCAGUCAAUUCACUCAAAAUAAAGCAACAUAAAAGACCUGUGAGAGCAAUCUGGUCCCAAGAAUCCCGGGAAGCAGUGACAAUGCCCAGAUAUGCAUUCUCCAUUCCCAUUACAGUUGGUUGAACAAUCAUCCAUCAUUUCUGUGAAUGAAUAAAAUGGCAUAAAGUAGACUGCGUUAAAGUUUGGAUUCAGCUGUAAAGAAAAACAACAGAUCUAAGAAAACCUAUCCAAAGUCUAUAAACUUGUUGGAGUUUAGCUCAGGAAAAUCACAUCUCAAGGAAGGUAUAUAACUACUACAUAUCCUGAAAUAGCAGCAGCAGUAAACAGAUAGGUGGGGAGGGGUGGGGUCUGUGAGCAGCCCGAAGAGAUCUGAUAUAAUUCUGUAGUUCACAGGAUGUCGGCUGACCCUGCACAUGCCACUUCAUCUGACACGUUAAACCUUGUCAUUUUCUGUUGGUCAGGCUAGUGAUCACAUGUUACAGUAAUAAAACAUAUGAAUGCAGCCGUGCUGGAAUUAAACAAAUUGCACUGUAGGACUAGUAAUGCUGAGCAAUGUAUGGGAAAAAACUGGACUGCUUAUUUUCUACAUGCUUUAAAAUAUACCACUGUGGUAAUGACCCAGUAUAUAAACUUUUUCUCUACUGGUAUAUGCAUAUAGACUGGGGCAAUUUAAAUUAGUAAUAAUCAUCCUUAUAAAUAUAAAAUAAGCCAUGUUCUUUCUUAGCAUAGCACUGACAUUUAUAUUCAGAUAACAUGCUGGAUUUUCACCCGAUUUUUCCUUUUUUUGACUGAAUAUGUCAGAUUUUUACCAAUUAGUAAAGUAGGAA